rnacentral:lncRNA from 1 species
AAAAAAUACAGAGAUUUUUGUGGAUAACAAAUCUUAGAUUGUAGAAUUUUAGCUUUGGAACAUUGAUCAUAUCCAAUAAAGAUAUGUUUUUUAUUUUUAUCAUCAAGCUUGAACCUCUCUUAACCGAAUACAUGAACAUAGCCAAUGCUUCAAAAAAAUUUAAAUGGGAAACUGAUGUAGGUGCAGGAGUCCGAGUCAUCCUAGAUAUGCGUCGUAUUUGGAUCAUCGCU